CCUACGGGAGGCAGCAGUGAGGAAUAUUGGUCAAUGGACGAGAGUCUGAACCAGCCAAGUAGCGUGAAGGAUGACUGCCCUAUGGGUUGUAAACUUCUUUUAUAUGGGAAUAAAAUGUUCCACGUGUGGGAUUUUGUAUGUACCAUAUGAAUAAGGAUCGGCUAACUCCGUGCCAGCAGCCGCGGUAAUACGGAGGAUCCGAGCGUUAUCCGGAUUUAUUGGGUUUAAAGGGAGCGUAGGUGGAUUGUUAAGUCAGUUGUGAAAGUUUGCGGCUCAACCGUAAAAUUGCAAUUGAAACUGACAGUCUUGAGUACAGUAGAGGUAGGCGGAAUUCGUGGUGUAGCGGUGAAAUGCUUAGAUAUCACGAAGAACUCCGAUUGCGAAGGCAGUUCACUAGACUGCAACUGACACUGAGGCUCGAGAGUGUGGGUAUCAAACAGGAUUAGAUACCCGAGUAGUC
rnacentral:rRNA from 1 species